GAUGAACGCUGGCGGCGUGCUUAACACAUGCAAGUCGAACGGAAAGGCCCAAGCUUGCUUGGGUACUCGAGUGGCGAACGGGUGAGUAACACGUGGGUGAUCUGCCCUGCACUUCGGGAUAAGCCUGGGAAACUGGGUCUAAUACCGGAUAGGACCACCUUUUGGAUGGUGUGGUGGAAAGUUUUUCGGUGUGGGAUGAGCUCGCGGCCUAUCAGCUUGUUGGUGGGGUAAUGGCCUACCAAGGCGUCGACGGGUAGCCGGCCUGAGAGGGUGUACGGCCACAUUGGGACUGGGAUACGGCCCAGACUCCUACGGGGGGCAGCAGUGGGGAAUAUUGCACAAUGGGCGCAAGCCUGAUGCAGCGACGCCGCGUGGGGGAUGACGGCCUUCGGGUUGUAAACUCCGUUCGCUAGGGACGAAGCGUUAUGUGACGGUACCUGGAGAAGAAGCACCGGCUAACUACGUG
rnacentral:rRNA from 1 species